rnacentral:rRNA from 1 species
GUGCCAGCAGCAGCGGUAAUACAGAGGUCUCGAGCGUUAGGCGGAAUCACUGGGCUUAAAGCGUGUGUAGGCGGAGUGCUAAGUACCUUGUGAAAUCCCACGGCUUAACCGUGGAACUGCUUGGUAUACUGGUUCUCUUGAGCCACCUAGGGGCGAGCGGAACAAAUGGUGGAGCGGUGAAAUGCGUAGAUAUCUGCAGGAACACCCGUGGCGAAGGCGGCUCACUGGAUCGCAACUGACGCUGAGAGACGAAAGCUAGGGGAGCAAAUAGGAUUAGAUACCCUCGUAGUCC